GACGAACGCUGGCGGCGUGCUUAACACAUGCAAGUCGAACGGUAAGGCCCCUUCGGGGGUACACGAGUGGCGAACGGGUGAGUAACACGUGAGCAACCUGCCCUUGACUCUGGAAUAACAGUUGGAAACAGCUGCUAAUACUGGAUAUUCAUCGUCUCCUUCCUGGGGGGUGGUGGAAAGCUCCGGCGGUCAGGGAUGGGCUCGCGGCCUAUCAGCCUGUUGGUGAGGUAAUGGCUCACCAAGGCUUCGACGGGUAGCCGGCCUGAGAGGGCGACCGGCCACACUGGGACUGAGAUACGGCCCAGACUCCUACGGGAGGCAGCAGUGGGGAAUAUUGCACAAUGGGCGCAAGCCUGAUGCAGCAACGCCGCGUGCGGGAUGACGGCCUUCGGGUUGUAAACCGCUUUCAGUAGGGACGAAGGGUGACUGACGGUACCUACAGAAGAAGGACCGGCUAACUACGUG
rnacentral:rRNA from 1 species